UACGUAGGUGGCAAGCGUUGUCCGGAAUUAUUGGGCGUAAAGCGCGCGCAGGCGGUCUUUUAAGUCUGAUGUGAAAGCCCACGGCUUAACCGUGGAGGGUCAUUGGAAACUGGAGGACUUGAGUACAGAAGAGGAGAGUGGAAUUCCACGUGUAGCGGUGAAAUGCGUAGAGAUGUGGAGGAACACCAGUGGCGAAGGCGGCUUUCUGGUCAGUAACUGACGCUGAGGCGCGAAAGCGUGGGGAGCAAACAGG
rnacentral:rRNA from 1 species